UUGACCUCGGAUCAGGUAGGAAUACCCGCUGAACUUAAGCAUAUCAAUAAGCGGAGGAAAAGAAACCAACAGGGAUUGCCCUAGUAACGGCGAGUGAAGCGGCAACAGCUCAAAUUUGAAAUCUGGCUCUCGGGCCCGAGUUGUAAUUUGUAGAGGAUACUUUUGAUGCGGUGCCUUCCGAGUUCCCUGGAACGGGACGCCAUAGAGGGUGAGAGCCCCGUCUGGUUGGAUGCCAAAUCUCUGUAAAGUUCCUUCAACGAGUCGAGUAGUUUGGGAAUGCUGCUCUAAAUGGGAGGUAUAUGUCUUCUAAAGCUAAAUACCGGCCAGAGACCGAUAGCGCACAAGUAGAGUGAUCGAAAGAUGAAAAGCACUUUGAAAAGAGAGUUAAAAAGUACGUGAAAUUGUUGAAAGGGAAGCGUUUAUGACCAGACUUGGGCUUGGUUAAUCAUCUGGGGUUCUCCCCAGUGCACUUUUCCAGUCCAGGCCAGCAUCAGUUUUCCCCGGGGGAUAAAGGCGGCGGGAAUGUGGCUCUCUUCGGGGAGUGUUAUAGCCCACCGUGUAAUACCCUGGGGGGGACUGAGGUUCGCGCAUCU
rnacentral:rRNA from 1 species